CUGACAAUGCUAGAGACUGAAGUUCUCUAUCUGUUCACAGAAAAGGUACAGCAGGGCAAUGUCAGAACAAGUUUCCUCACAAUGCCCUGCCAACAUACUUCAACUUAGAUGUGAAAGGCCCAGCUAGGUGCAAGAGGGUAGUUUAGACUCUGAUUUUAUUUCAUUUUUACUGUGUCU
rnacentral:sRNA from 1 species